rnacentral:rRNA from 1 species
AGGUAGUAUCAGUGGAUCUGGAAACCUAAAAUUUUUGGCGGUUUUGCAGUCUAGUUAGAGGAAUCUGUCCAGUAAUAGAUAUUCCACGUUGGUUUUUACUUUUAUUUUGUUUAUAUACCGCCGUCAUAAAGUGAUUUUUUUAGAAAUUAUUGGGAUAUUUAGAAAGAGAUAGGAUGACAGGUCUAGGUGUAGCUUAUAUAGAAGGGUGAGAUGGAUUACAAUAUUAUAUUAAUAGAUGGAUAUAUUUUCUUAAGGAGAUGUUUGAAAGUGGAUUUAAAAGUAAUACUUAAUUGAAAUGUAAGUGUGAUUUAAGCUCUGUGAAAUGU